rnacentral:rRNA from 1 species
UACGGGGGGGGCAAGCGUUGUUCGGAAUUACUGGGCGUAAAGGGCUCGUAGGUGGCCAACUAAGUCAGACGUGAAAUCCCUCGGCUUAACCGGGGAACUGCGUCUGAUACUGGAUGGCUUGAGUUUGGGAGAGGGAUGCGGAAUUCCAGGUGUAGCGGUGAAAUGCGCAGAUAUCAGGAGGAACACCGAUGGCGAAGGCAGCUCGCUGGGACGGUACUGACGCUGAGACGCGAAAGCGUGGGGAGCGAACAGG